rnacentral:rRNA from 1 species
CCUACGGGUGGCUGCAGUGAGGAAUCUUGGUCAAUGGACGAGAGUCUGAACCAGCCAAGUAGCGUGAAGGAUGACUGCCCUCUGGGUUGUAAACUUCUUUUAUAUGGGAAUACAAUGUUCCACGUGUGGGAUUUUGUAUGUACCAUAUGAAUCAGGAUCGUCUAACUCCGUUCCAGCAGCCGCGGUAAUACGGAGGAUCCGAGCGUUAUCCGGUUUUAUUGGGUUUAACGGGAGCGUAGGUGGAUUGUUAAGUCAGUUGUGAAAGUUUGCGGCUCAACCGUAAAAUUGCAGUUGAGACUGGCAGUCUUGAGUACAGUAGAGGUGGGCGGAAGUCGUGGUGUAGCGGUGGAAUGCUUAG